AGCAAGAGCCCGGAGAUGGAUUCUGAGACAUGAAUCCAGGCCCUACGGGGCGCAGCAGGCGCGAAAACUUUACAAUGCGGGAAACCGUGAUAAGGGGACACCGAGUGCCAGCGUCAUACGCUGGCUGUCCAGGUGUGUAAAAUACACCUGUUAGCAAGGGCCGGGCAAGACCGGUGCCAGCCGCCGCGGUAACACCGGCGGCCCGAGUGGUGAUCGUGAUUAUUGGGUCUAAAGGGUCCGUAGCCGGUUUAGUCAGUCCUCCGGGAAAUCUGACAGCUCAACUGUUAGGCUUUCGGGGGAUACUGCCAGACUUGGAACCGGGAGAGGUAAGAGGUACUACAGGGGUAGGAGUGAAAUCUUGUAAUCCCUGUGGGACCACCUGUGGCGAAGGCGUCUUACCAGAACGGGUUCGACGGUGAGGGACGAAAGCUGGG
rnacentral:rRNA from 1 species